ensembl:snRNA U6 U6 spliceosomal RNA
GCACUCACUUUGGCAGAGCGAAUGCUAAAAUUGGAACCAUACAGAAAAGAUUAGCACAGCCCCUGUGCGCGCAAAUUUGUGAAGCAUUCCAUUUUUUU